GGCUCUUUGUGGCUCAGUGGCAGAGCUUCUGUUUGGCAUGCAGGUGGUCCCGGGUUCAAUCCUCAGCAGCUCCA
rnacentral:tRNA from 1 species